rnacentral:rRNA from 1 species
GACGAACCGUGCAAACGUUAUUCAGAAUCACUGGGCAUAAAGGGCGCGUAGGCGGCUCCAAAAGUCAGGGGUGAAAUCCGGCAGCUUAACUGUCGCAGUGCCUUUGAUACUGUGGAGCUAGAGGGAUGUAGGGGUCUGUGGAACUUCCGGUGGAGCGGUGAAAUGCGUAGAGAUCCGGAAGAACACCGGUGGCGAAGGCGGUUGGCUGGGCCGUGGCUGACACUGAGGCGCGACAGCGUGGGGAGCAAACAGG